rnacentral:rRNA from 1 species
GAUGAACGCUGGCGGCGUGCCUAAUACAUGCAAGUCGAGCGAACAGAUGAGGAGCUUGCUCCUCUGACGUUAGCGGCGGACGGGCGAGUAACACGUGGAUAACCUACCUAUAAGACUGGGAUAACUUCGGGAAACCGGAGCUAAUACCGGAUAAUAUAUUGAACCGCAUGGUUCAAUAGUGAAAGACGGUUUUGCUGUCACUUAUAGAUGGAUCCGCGCCGCAUUAGCUAGUUGGUAAGGUAACGGCUUACCAAGGCAACGAUGCGUAGCCGACCUGAGAGGGUGAUCGGCCACACUGGAACUGAGACACGGUCCAGACUCCUACGGGAGGCAGCAGUAGGGAAUCUUCCGCAAUGGGCGAAAGCCUGACGGAGCAACGCCGCGUGAGUGAUGAAGGUCUUCGGAUCGUAAAACUCUGUUAUUAGGGAAGAACAAAUGUGUAAGUAACUAUGCACGUCUUGACGGUACCUAAUCAGAAAGCCACGGCUAACUACGUG